GCUAGUAAUCGUGGAUCAGCAUGCCACGGUGAAUACGUUCCCGGGCCUUGUACACACCGCCCGUCACACCAUGGGAGUCGGUAACACCCGAAGCCUGUAGUCUAACCGCAAGGAGGACGCAGUCGAAGGUGGGAUUGAUGACUGGGGUGAAGUCGUAACAAGGUACC
rnacentral:rRNA from 1 species